rnacentral:rRNA from 1 species
AGUGAACGCUGGCGGUAGGCCUAACACAUGCAAGUCGAACGGCAGCACAGUAAGAGCUUGCUCUUACGGGUGGCGAGUGGCGGACGGGUGAGGAAUACAUCUGAAUCUACUUUUUCGUGGGGGAUAACGUAGGGAAACUUACGCUAAUACCGCAUACGACCUACGGGUGAAAGCAGGGGAUCUUCGGACCGUGCGCGAUUGAAUGAGCCGCUGUCGGAUUAGCUAGUUGGGGGGGUAAAGGCCCACCAAGGCGACGAUCCGUAGCUGGUGUGAGAGGAUGGUCAGCCGCACGAGAACUGGGACACGCUCAAUGGUCCUGCGGGAGGCAGCAGAGGGGAAUAUUGGACAAUGGGGGCAAGCCUGAUACAGCCAUACCGCGUGUGUGGAGGAGGCCUUGGGGGUGUAAAGACCUUUUGUGGGUAAAGAAACGCAGCAGGUUAAUACCCCGCUGUUCUGACGGUACCCAAAGAAUAAGCACCGGCUAACUUCGUG